UGGCGGGGGUGCGGGGAAGGCGGCCGGCCCGGCGGCCCUCAGGUCCCCCUCAGGCGGGUCUCGAGCGCCGCCCGUUCGCCCGUGUGGGGCCGCGGGGCCCCGUGCUGCUGCCGUCCCGGGGAAGACUGUUCACGUCAGUUCACCCGGCAUUGACGGAACCUGGGUGUGCUUACAGAGCCUUAGAAAACUAUUUCUGAUUUAAAACUGCUAAUUAAACUGUUUAAACAGUUAAUCUAACAAUUCAGGAAGCUCACAGAGGAAGUAAACGCAAAUGAGGAAAAAAUCUCCAAGCCCAGAUGUUUUAGAGGGAAGAGACAGUGGAAGAAAACAUGUCAGGAAAUUCUGAAUAAACCUCCUGCUGCCAUUCUAUUAGUCCUUUGUUCAUCUGCCUGAGCCUCCUUGCAGAUAGGACACCACUCAAAAAUGGCAUUAGUGCUGCUCUGUCUGGAGGCAAUGUGACAGUGCAACACUGCCACCACCCAAACAGGAGAUACAUAAGUCACAGUCAACAGCUCCUAAAUGGAUCACUAGGGGCUGGAUAGCCUCUUUGCUGAGCUGCAGCCAUACAGAGCCAGCUUCAGGGCCAACACAUUACCUGCUGCAGACAGGUGUUUGGAAAUGACCGAGGUCCAGUGAUCUGACUGUUCUGAGGCAGUCUGGGAGGUAUGUUCACUGCAGAGCUGAUGAACCAAACUGUUUGGCCAGCCUUGCCUCAAGAACCUGUUUGCUGCACAGAUGUCAGUUUGAGACUACUCUGGUUUUCUCCAGAUGGACACAUCUGAGGUGUCCACCCACUCACAUAAUCAUCACACAACAAAAUAAGGAUAAACAAGAGGGCACAGUGAGGUAGAUGGAGAAGGCUGCACAAUGUCAGAGGGACUAAUGGAAAGCAGAAAGAGAUAUCUGGGAGAAUCUACAGUCUAGACUCCUACAUGGAAAUCCAGUUUAGUGGCCACAAAAGAGAUGACACUUCUGGGCAAGGGAAGCAUAUUCCAUCUCAGAAAGCUCAGAAGACAAGAAUGGUUGGAAGCGUGCCACUGGAGAAAGUUACUCAUUGGACUCAGCAACAGUUGGAGACAUUAUUACAAUUUCUUCUGGACAGAAUUGUGGAAAAGUAAAAGUAACACUUAUUAAUGACUGAUUAUUCAUACACUGAUUCUCUAUCCCACAGAUUUACUCUCUAUCCCUCACUUCCUCCACCAAUUCAGAACAGGCUGCUUCUAGGUCCCUUCACAAAGGCCCACAAAAGCCCAGGAGCAUUCUCCACAACUCUGACACCUGGAGCACUCUCCUGCAUUUCUCCAUCUUGCCACUUCUGUCUCCACACCAUGUAAGAGCCCACAACUUGCUGCUCUGCUGGAACAGAUGAGUUUCUCCUCACUUGUUCCGCUCAUUUUUCAUAUUUCAUUUCAUGUGGAUCUAAGUUUUUGCCUGUCUGUAAAUAUCCAUGGGUGUCUGCCACUACUCAUCAAUAGUUUCCUGAUAGUUGUUUUUAAAGCAGAAUCUGUUUGAUUUGUGAAGUGGCUAAUGAGUGAUUGAAUGCAUUCUAUUUGGAAGACACAGCGAGUACAAGCCAACCACCAGAGCUGGCUCAAAGCUUCUUAUCAGCAUGAGCAAACUACCCUGUGCUGCCCUGAGGAUGAAGUGCACACACUACACACAGAUCUGGCCUUUUCUGCCACAGAAAAGUGAACAGGAUCCAGCAAAGGCUCACAUGACCCAUUUUUCCUGAAGUAGCUGCUGUUUCAAGACUUUAUUGUUUCAUACAUUCUCAUCCCCUCUGCUGGCAGCAGCAGCUGCCAGGCUGGUUUUCAGGGCUUCGCCAGAGCCCAUUCUGCCAUCCCCAUUGCUGCCUCCUUUGCCUGUGCCUGGAUCUGACCCUGCCAAGCACUGAGAGAUUAGCCUCAUUCAAAAGUAAAGAAAAAUCCCCAAAUCAGCUCUGAGUUCUACCUCUGCCUACACUUUCACCUCGCUAGAAAUUAUUUAUCUAUAAAUAACCUUGCCUGCAAAGUUGAAACAAAAUUAUGAGCAGUAUAUGUCAGUUCCCACCUCGAGUUUCACUCUGACUGAAAUCUGCUGCAUUAUGUUAAAAGAAAAAAACUAAAACACCUCUGCCCAAGUCACCAAGGUCACUACUAAUUGCUUCUCUUUGGUAAAUGAGGUAGGCAUGUACAUGCACACACAUGCCCACAGACACCUACUGCAGUCAAAAGGCAAAGAACUUGCUUUGUGCUUUAUUUAAAUUAUCAAAUUGUUGCAAGUGUACUUGAAACAAAAUACAAACACUAAAGCCAGCUAUGCACAAUGCAGGGUGCAGAAUGGCAUGUAAAACCUAAGAAUGACACCAAGUUCCCAUCAGGAUACACACCCCAGUGAAGUCUCAGUUCAUGCUUCAUAAUUAAAAAAGAUGUACUACACUUAAGAAAUCCCUCAACAGACUUCAUCAGCACAAGGCUCGAGUGAUAUAAGACAACUUGCACUGCUCCCAUGCUUUGGGAUACAUUUUUUCUUAGCAAUUGACCACAAAAUGUGUAAUAGUGCAUGCUCAUAUGCAAUACAUUCCAGCAAGUAAAACAUCAGGGAUUUAUCCACACAAAAGCUCCAGAUCUCUCAUUCCCCCUUUCUGCAAGAUAAGGAGGAGGAGCAUAUAGCACAAUGAAGACAAACCCAUUCUGGAAGGAAUGCAGGUCUGCACUAAACAGUGAAUUUUGCUCUUGAGGUCAUAAAUACAAUCCAAAAAGAGCAAAUAAUUUUGUAGAAUUCAUUAUAUCUGUAGGAAGAAAUCCAUGGGUCCAUUUUCCAGAGUUGGGACAAGCUGUCUCAGGCCCAGCCUUGCAAAGCAUUCAGCUGUGGGAAGGAAGGGGUGGCUUGGCAGAAACAGUAAAGCUGGUCAGGGAGUAAGGGAAAACUGCCAAAUACACAAGCCCUGAUUACAAUUAGUAGAUUUAAAGACUCUUCUGUUAUGAGAUCUCUAGAAUGAAAAAGAAAAGGUUGGGGAAUGCUUAGCCCUGUUCUAGUGGUAUAGCUGGGUACAUGAACUGCUCCAGGGCACCCCAGCUCAUUUGCAUUAUAAGCAGCACAAAAGCAAUGGACACGGCCCCUUCCAGGGAAUAAUGUCCCAAGGAGGGGGUAGAUGGCAGCUCAGGGCUGGCAGGGGGGCUUCCUAGAGAAAUAGAGGGGACCUGUGCUUGAAGCAGAGCGUGGGAGAAGGAGCAGUGCCAGCCACCCUUGACUUCCCACCACCCAGCAGGAGAUGGGACAACUGAACAUAAAUGAGGCCAACCCCGAGUGCUAAAACAUGUCCCAAAACCAGAAAGUCCAAAGGUGUCACACAGCAGGGCAUAAAAUCUAGAGUCAUGGCUGAUUUGUGCUCCUCCCAGAUCUCAGGCAUGCUUGAAGUGGUAGAGUUCUCAUUAGUAACUGCUGUUGUAAUUUUUAAAAGGCUGUUCAAUCAUUAUUGACCUAAUACAUCAACAAAAGACCACAACAAUCAAGAGAUUUAUCAAUGAAGUCACAGAAAAGGUAGCUUACUUUCAAAACAGCCUAAGAUAAGAAUUCAUAGGACACAAAAAAGAUGUACUGAUCUAUUUUUAUAGAAAUAUAAAUGACAUGGAAUAUUUUAUUAAUUAUUUGCUGUCUGUGCUCUCUUACAAAGAGUACAAAUUUUUCAUUUUACUGAGGGAAAAUUAAUUUGCUAUUCCCAUGGCUAAAAAGACAAUUAUAUAUGAACCUGACAAUCAUAAUCAGAAAUUAUUAAUUACUUGGUUGAGACUGUUAUUCCUAUAAACCUGGUUUCAUAUGCAUGAACAAAAUGAUGUGCUCUGAUUAGAGCAUGAAGCAGAAACAACAGCACUAGCACAAAUGUCUAGAAAAUGCCUCUGCAAACAAGAAUGCUGCAAGAUCUAGACAUCACUUCAGUUAAAUAGAGGCCAUCCUGAUGUGCACAAAGAACAUGCACACAGGUAGAGGUUGCUUGCUCAGCACUGCCAGACAAGGACUCCACAUGCACACUUACUCUUAAGACACAUUAUGCAGAAUUAUCAAUUAUGUAUAAUUGUAGUCUCCUACUUAAUGGCAGAGGUGGCUCCUCUCUUCCCACACAGACCUUGUAAAAGCCGAUCUACUUCAUCAGGUUUUUAUAAUGUUGCAUUUUUCACCCAUUUAGAUAGCACUGAUAAACUGACCUAAGACUUUAUUGUAAAAGACAGAUUCUCAAAAAUCUACUGCCUUUAUGGUAACUCCUUUUAUCCUCCAAGUUACCAGCUGUCUAGUUCUAUGCAACCACUUUGUUUAUGGAGCAAAAUUCUGCCCACAUACUGCAAUCCCCUUCAGAGCUCAAGGCUAUUCAAAGCAUUGCCACCAGCUACAAGGAAGAAGUUUCCUUAUAUUUUGCCCUUCCCCUUAUUUUUUCCCCUCAGAUUUUACUAUUUGUCAUCAAUACAGUAAAAUAGCAUUGAGCAAGAGCCCUGGCAUAUUUCUACCACACGAAACUUACGCUUUUAUGUACAUACACUGCUCAACAAAAAGGAAAAAAAUAUUUUUGCUACUACUGUUUGAGCAGGUUUGAGGAUUUGGUUCACUAAAACAAAAAAAAAAAAAACCCAGAAAGACACCCAACCAGAAUCUCAGGUGUGUGAAAAGUUAGUUUAAACUAAGGCCAGUAAGUGCUAUAGCAGAGCCCUUGGCAGGGCUUCCCUCUGGCUGUGGAAAAGGCCAGGAUCACAAGCCUGUGCAGUACCCAGGAUCCCACCUGCCCCUGCUCACAGCUCAGUGCUCACCUUACCCUGAGUGCAGCACCCACUCCAGCUGUUAAGCAUCAAGGUACAAGGACAAGGGAAAGCACCAGAAACAGCCAGGAAGAAACAGACUGAGGAAUCAAUGUAAGCAGCUUCCUGACAGCACAGAUGACAAAUGCCUUCCUGUACUCUGACCUACCACAUGCCUUAUCUUAGAAGUAACCAUCCCAAAACACAGCUCCAUUUUCCUGUGAUUUCAUUCCUUGGCUCUCCAGAGGAGAUCAAUAGACACAGCAGUGCUGGCUGCCUGCACAAGCCUGGGGCCAUGCCAUGGAAAUCCCAGUGUGGCCAUAAAGAGAACAGCAACUGAAUGGGAAGCAGAGGAAGGAACAAAGCUUAUCUAAUACUUCAGCUCCUCAAACCCCACGUGUUACUGACAAGUAAAACUUCACAAAAGGAAGGCCUUGUAAAACCAUGGCUCAGGCCUGUUACUUUGGCUAAGUAGAAAAGGACUUUGGGAAAGAGACUGAGCUGAAUUAGGGGUAGAAAAAUAAGUUAUAUAAACCACCAUGUGUUCACAUUGUGGUGUAUGGUGGUUGAAUUAUGUUUGUUAUGCUUUAAAGCUACAUAACUGAUAAUGGGCUGACUGCCUGAAAAGGCCUGGUUUUUUGCAAUAAAGCAGCUCUCCUUUGCAUCUGCCUGGGGACUCUGCCUCACCAUGGACCCUCUCCCAAGCAGUGCUAAAGUAGCACUAAAGUAGCACACAGCCCCAAAGCAGAUACUUCAGGAUGGUUUUGCUUGAGUGAAAAGUUUGCAAAUAAAAAUUGAUUUGGAAGAGUUACAGUGCUGGUACACAGGGAGUUUACCCUAUGGGCCGAGAUGUUUGUUUUAUUAAACACACACAUUAGAGGAGACUUGCAAUAAAGAAUAGUGAGAAUGACACCAAUUUUUCUUUGGCAGAACUCCAGCAGGAAAUAAUCCUGUGUCAGCUACAGCUCUGUCCUCUGGUACCACACAGAUUCAAUGCACAUGCUGGAUUCAUUUAAAUACAUCCAAGUCUGCAUUUCAUUUUUUAAAGACUUUUUUGCUAGAAAUCAUAAAUAACCAAUAAUUCUGAAGAAUAUACAAAUUGAUAAAAAUGGGGCACAGUUCUUACCAUGCAUUGAAAGAGAUCAUACAAGGAAAAGGAAACAGAGUUACAUGUCUUCAAACAAAUUAUUUAGAUAAAAUGUAGUAUUAGGUAAGGUGCUAACAACAUCUCUCAUUUUAAAGGUAAAGAUUGUUGUCCAACACUGAAUCACCCUAGUUAAAGAAACCAUAAAAAUUACUCUUUAUUCCGGAAACAGAGUUAAUGUAUUGUAACAUCUGGUGAUCCAGGGAAACAGCAAUGCAUUUCCUAAAAUACCUGGCAUUGGUCCAGUGCUUUAUCAGCAUCCUGAAAAUACAGGCAAUUGAAAAAAUACUCAUUAUGGCUGCAUGAUAUGAAUUUCAGACAAAGCAAAAAGUUCAGCAUAAUUCUAUACAAGUCACAUCCAAUUUGGAUCACACCAUGUAAUAGCUAAGCAAUUUAGAAGGCUGAAUUGUGGUUUUAGAACUGCAAUAAAGUUUUUUCAUGUGAAAUUCAUACAGCAAACUUUAUGUUCUGGAUAUGGACAAGAAAAGAGAGUGUCAGACUCCAAAAAAUCAAUACUAAUUUAGUAGGUGUUUUUGAAAACAAACCUGGCAAAGCAUGUACACUGCUACUCAGGAAUCCCUGUAUUAAAGACUCUGUAUUACUUACUGUUCAUAUUGAGAAUUAUCACUUUGAUGGAUGUGGGUUUGUGAACAACAGUCCUCGUGUUCAUUUUCUGAUCCUUCUUAGAGCACUCUUGAAAACCUGGACGUGUUCAUCAGACCAGAAUGUAGCUCAGCUGCAAACAGAAGUGUUAAUGAGUUUAUCAGAAGCCACAGAGAUGCAUAACUAAAAGGCAACUUGGGCUCCCUUCUGAGGGACAGCAUUCCAGAAAACACUGCUGACAUUUCAAAGGAGUUAUUUGGAGGUCAAUGCAGCACAGAGAUUUAAACAGCUUUCCUGUGAGCUGAGAGGAAACAAGAACACAGAAAUGACAAGGGCAACAGACUGGAAUUGUGGCCUUGCAUGUUACUACGUAAGAGAACACACAGGUUAGGAAAAGGUUUAAAACUGAAGGCAGAAAAAGAUAAUGCGAUCAAAAAUAGCCAUGGUGUACAAGAAGUUCCUCUUGAUGCAGUACUGCAGCCAGGAAAUAGGAUAAUACUGCAUGAAGAGAAGAAUGAAAUGUAUCAUUAUGUAUUUUUUUAGAGGGAAGUUUAAGUUGUAUGCCACACAGGAAAAACCACAUUGUUGGAAGCUUAUCAUCAUGGUAGUAAAAGGCCAGGAAAAAACCCAAACCAAACAAAAAAGCCAACAAAUCAAAACACCCCAAACUGCUCUUUAUGUAAAUAUUAUGGCUGUUCAUAGGUAACUCACAUGUGCAAAAGUACCUCUA